rnacentral:rRNA from 1 species
GAUGAAUGCUGGCGGCGUGCCUAACACAUGCAAGUCGAGCGGCAGCGAGUUUUACACUGAAUUCUGGAAGCUUCUGAGUAGUACAGAAGAUUUAUUCAAGAGUUUUGUGUAAAAUGUCGGCGAGCGGCGGACGGCUGAGUAACGCGUAGGAAUUUGCCCCAAAGUGAGGAAUAACUGCCCGAAAGGGUAGCUAAUGCCGCAUAUGGUCUUCGGAUUAAAGCCUUCGGGCGCUUUGGGAGAAGCCUGCGUUGGAUUAGGUAGUUGGUAGGGUAAUGGCCUACCAAGCCGACGAUCCAUAGCUGGUCUGAGAGGAUGAUCAGCCAGACUGGAACUGAGACACGGUCCAGACUCCUACGGGAGGCAGCAGUGAGGAAUCUUCCACAAUGGGCGAAAGACUGAUGGAGCAACGCCGCGUGAAGGAUGAAGGCCUUCGGGUUGUAAACUUCUUUUAUGAGUGAAGAAUAUGACGGUAACUCAUGAAUAAGCACCGGCUAACUACGUG